GAUGAACGCUGGCGGCGUGCCUAAUACAUGCAAGUCGAGCGAACAGACGAGGAGCUUGCUCCUCUGACGUUAGCGGCGGACGGGUGAGUAACACGUGGAUAACCUACCUAUAAGACUGGGAUAACUUCGGGAAACCGGAGCUAAUACCGGAUAAUAUAUUGAACCGCAUGGUUCAAUAGUGAAAGACGGUUUUGCUGUCACUUAUAGAUGGAUCCGCGCCGCAUUAGCUAGUUGGUAAGGUAACGGCUUACCAAGGCAACGAUGCGUAGCCGACCUGAGAGGGUGGACGGCCCCACUGGAACUGAGACACGGUCCCGACUCCUACGGGAGGCAGCAGUAGGGAAUCUUCCGCAAAGGGCGGAAGCCUGACGGAGCAACGCCGCGUGAGUGAUUAAGGUCUUCGGAUCGUAAAACUCUGUUAUUAGGGAAGAACAAAUGUUUAAGUAACUAUGCACGUCUUGACGGUACCUAAUCAGAAAGCCACGGCUAACUACGUG
rnacentral:rRNA from 1 species